CGUACACGGUGGAUGCCCUGGCAGUCAGAGGCGAUGAAGGACGUGCUAAUCUGCGAAAAGCGUCGGUAAGGUGAUAUGAACCGUUAUAACCGGCGAUGUCCGAAUGGGGAAACCCAGUGUGAUUCGUCACACUAUCGUUAACUGAAUACAUAGGUUAACGAGGCGAACCGGGGGAACUGAAACAUCUAAGUACCCCGAGGAAAAGAAAUCAACCGAGAUUCCCCCAGUAGCGGCGAGCGAACGGGGAGCAGCCCAGAGUCUGAAUCAGCUUGUGUGUUAGUGGAACGGUCUGGAAAGUCCGACGGUACAGGGUGAUAGUCCCGUACACCAAAAUGCACAGGUUGUGAACUCGAAGAGUAGGGCGGGACACGUGGUAUCCUGUCUGAAUAUGGGGGGACCAUCCUCCAAGGCUAAAUACUCCUGACUGACCGAUAGUGAACCAGUACCGUGAGGGAAAGGCGAAAAGAACCCCGGCGAGGGGAGUGAAAAAGAACCUGAAACCGUGUACGUACAAGCAGUGGGAGCACCUUCGGGUGUGACUGCGUACCUUUUGUAUAAUGGGUCAGCGACUUAUAUUCUGUAGCAAGGUUAACCGUAUAGGGGAGCCGCAGGGAAACCGAGUCUUAACUGGGCGUUAAGUUGCAGGGUAUAGACCCGAAACCCGGUGAUCUAGCCAUGGGCAGGUUGAAGGUUGGGUAACACUAACUGGAGGACCGAACCGACUAAUGUUGAAAAAUUAGCGGAUGACUUGUGGCUGGGGGUGAAAGGCCAAUCAAACCGGGAGAUAGCUGGUUCUCCCCGAAAGCUAUUUAGGUAGCGCCUCGUGAACUCAUCUUCGGGGGUAGAGCACUGUUUCGGCUAGGGGGUCAUCCCGACUUACCAACCCGAUGCAAACUACGAAUACCGAAGAAUGUUAUCACGGGAGACACACGGCGGGUGCUAACGUCCGUCGUGAAGAGGGAAACAACCCAGACCGCCAGCUAAGGUCCCAAAGUCAUGGUUAAGUGGGAAACGAUGUGGGAAGGCACAGACAGCCAGGAUGUUGGCUUAGAAGCAGCCAUCAUUUAAAGAAAGCGUAAUAGCUCACUGGUCGAGUCGGCCUGCGCGGAAGAUGUAACGGGGCUAAACCAUGCACCGAAGCUGCGGCAGCGACACUAUGUGUUGUUGGGUAGGGGAGCGUUCUGUAAGCCUGCGAAGGUGUGCUGUGAGGCAUGCUGGAGGUAUCAGAAGUGCGAAUGCUGACAUAAGUAACGAUAAAGCGGGUGAAAAGCCCGCUCGCCGGAAGACCAAGGGUUCCUGUCCAACGUUAAUCGGGGCAGGGUGAGUCGACCCCUAAGGCGAGGCCGAAAGGCGUAGUCGAUGGGAAACAGGUUAAUAUUCCUGUACUUGGUGUUACUGCGAAGGGGGGACGGAGAAGGCUAUGUUAGCCGGGCGACGGUUGUCCCGGUUUAAGCAUGUAGGCUGNNNNNNNNNNAGGAAAAGCCUCUAAGCAUCAGGUAACAUCAAAUCGUACCCCAAACCGACACAGGUGGUCAGGUAGAGAAUACCAAGGCGCUUGAGAGAACUCGGGUGAAGGAACUAGGCAAAAUGGUGCCGUAACUUCGGGAGAAGGCACGCUGGUGUGUAGGUGAAGUCCCUGCGGAUGGAGCUGAGACCAGUCGAAGAUACCAGCUGGCUGCAACUGUUUAUUAAAAACACAGCACUGUGCAAACACGAAAGUGGACGUAUACGGUGUGACGCCUGCCCGGUGCCGGAAGGUUAA
rnacentral:rRNA from 1 species